AGGACACAAUGAGAAGGCAGCCAUCCACAAGCUAGGAGGAGGGCUCUCAUCAGAAACUGAAUCUGCCAGUGUCUUGAUCUUGGACAUCAGAGCUGUCAAAACUGAUAUAGCAAGAAGAUCGCAAACCUGGAAGAAGUAUCUCACCACACGCUGAGUCUGCUGGCACUUUGAUCCUGAGAUUACCAGCCUCUAGAAGUGUUUGAGACACACUAUUUAUGAUACUGAUGAUCCUUAAUUUAGGAUGUUUUGACUUACUAUUUUUUUAUUUCACGAUGGUGCAAAAGUGAUAUGCAUUCUUCAGAAACUGCAAAUCAGAUUUUGAGUUCUGCUAUUCUCCUGGGCUAACAAUCAAUAUGGUGUAUGGCCCUCUCUUGUGUCCCUGGGCGAUGGCAGUGGCCUGACCUCCCAGUCAGCUACGUGAUUACAAGUCACACAGAGAGAGAGAGAGAUAGAGAGAGAGAGGCAGAGGGAGAAGCAGGCUCCAUGCACCGGGAGCCCGACGUGGGAUUCGAUCCCGGGUCUCCAGGAUCAUGCCCUGGGCCAAAGGCAGGAGCUAAACCACUGCGCCACCCAGGGAUCCCUACACUUCAAUCUUUAAUGUGAAGACUUGCCUCGUGGUGACUACCAUAAUGGAAGUGGAGAGAGUCUAUAAAAAAAGUCAGCAUUGUUAUCAAACAGCAUCAUAUCCUACAAGGAAAUCAUUCAUGAAAGGAGAAGUCAAUAGCAGCAAACUUCAUUCAUCUCAUUUUUUAAAAAAAUGCCCAGCCACCCCAGCCUUCAUUAACCACUCUAAUCGGUCAACAGCUAUCAACAUCAAGGCAAGACCUUCUCCCAGAGAAAAAGAAAUUUAACUCCAUGAAUGCUCAAAUGAUGGUUAGCAUUUUUUAGCCAUAAAAUGUUUUUAAUUAAGGUAAUAAAAAAAGAAAAAAAUAAAUUGUUU